rnacentral:rRNA from 1 species
AUUGAACGCUGGCGGCAGGCCUAACACAUGCAAGUCGAGCGAGCGGCGGACGGGUGAGUAAUGUAUGGGGACUGCCCGAUAGAGGGGGAUAACUACUGGAAACGGUGGCUAAUACCGCAUACUAUCGGAUAACCCAUAUGGGAUUAGCUAGUAGGUGGGGUAAAGGCUCUCCUAGGCGACGCUCGCUAGCUGGUCUGAGAGGAUUAUUAGCCACACUGCGACAGAGACUCGGCCCAGACUCCUACGGGGGCAGCAGUGGGGAAUAUUGCACGAUGGGGUCAAGCCUAAUGCAGCCAUGCCGCGUGUAUGAUGAAGGCCUUAGGGUUGGAAAGUACUUUCAGCGUGGAGGCGUUACCCGCAGAAGAAGCACCGGCUAACUCCGUGCCAGCAGCCGCGGUAAUAC